rnacentral:rRNA from 1 species
AAACCAACAGGGAUUGCCUCAGUAACGGCGAGUGAAGCGGCAAAAGCUCAAAUUUGAAAUCCCCCGGGAAUUGUAAUUUGAAGGACCUAUUAAAACCCUGAGAGAGCCCAAAGUCCAUUGGAAAAUGGCGCCAUAGAAGGUGAUAGCCCUGUGUGGACCUCUCUCAGCAUACUUUUUAGGCCCAAAGAGUCGAGUUGUUUGGGAAUGCAGCUCUAAGUGGGUGGUAAAUUCCAUCUAAAGCUAAAUAUUGGCGAGAGACCGAUAGCGAACAAGUACAGUGAUGGAAAGAUGAAAAGCACUUUGAAAAGAGAGUGAAAAAGUACGUGAAAUUGUUGAAAGGGAAGGGCUUGCAAGCAGACACAACCUCGGUUGGGCCAGCAUCGGGGCGGGGGGAAACAAAAAAGGUGUGGAAUGUGGCUCUUACGAGUGUUAUAGCCCCACCCAAUAUUUCCAUCCCAUCCCGAGGCCUGCGAUUCUUCAAGGAUGCUGGCGUAAUGGUUGCAAGUCGC